rnacentral:rRNA from 1 species
CCUACGGGUGGCAGCAGUGAGGAAUAUUGGUCAAUGGACGAGAGUCUGAACCAGCCAAGUAGCGUGAAGGAUGACUGCUCUAUGGGUUGUAAACUUCUUUUAUAUGGGAAUAAAAUGUUCCACGUGUGGGUUUUUGUAUGUACCCUAUGAAUAAGGAUCGGCUAACUCCGUGCCAGCAGCCGCGGUAAUACGGAGGAUCCGAGCGUUAUCCGGAUUUAUUGGUUUUAAAGGGAGCGUAGGUGGAUUGUUAAGUCAGUUGUGAAAGGUUGCGGCUCAACCGUAAAAUUGCAGUUGAUACUGGGAGGCGUGAGUGUAGUAGAGGUGGGCGGAAUUCGUGGUGUAGCGGUGAAAUGCUUAGAUAUCACGAAGAACUCCGAUUGCGAAGGCAGCUCACUGGACUGCAACUGACACUGAGGCUCGAAAGUGUGGGUAGCAAACAGGAUUAGAUACCCUUGUAGUC